GGUUAGGUUAGGUUAGGUUAGGUUAGGUUUAGGUUUAGGUUAGGUUAGGUUAGGUUAGGUUAGGUUUAGGUUUAGGUUAGGUUUAGGUUAGGUUAGGUUUAGGUUUAGGUUAGGUUUAGGUUAGGUUAGGUUAGGUUAGGUUAGGUUUAG